UAGCUCAGUUGGUAGAGCACAGGACUGAAAAUCCUGGUGUCGGCGGUUCGAUCCCGCC
rnacentral:tRNA from 1 species